GAUGAACGCUGGCGGCGUGCCUAAUACAUGCAAGUCGAGCGAACAGACGAGGAGCUUGCUCCUUUGACGUUAGCGGCGGACGGGUGAGUAACACGUGGGUAACCUACCUAUAAGACUGGGAUAACUUCGGGAAACCGGAGCUAAUACCGGAUAAUAUUUCGAACCGCAUGGUUCGAUAGUGAAAGAGGGCUUUGCUAUAACUUAUAGAUGGACCUGCGCCGUAUUAGCUAGUUGGUAAGGUAACGGCUUACCAAGGCAACGAUACGUAGCCGACCUGAGGGGGUGAUCGGCCACACUGGAACUGAGACACGGUCCAGACUCCUACGGGAGGCAGCAGUAGGGAAUCUUCCGCAAAGGGCGAAAGCCUGACGGAGCAACGCCGCGUGAGUGAUGAAGGUCUUCGGAUCGUAAAACUCUGUUAUUAGGGAAGAACAAACGUGUAAGUAACUGUGCACGUCUUGACGGUACCUAAUCAGAAAGCCACGGCUAACUACGUG
rnacentral:rRNA from 1 species